UACAGAGGUGCCAAGCGUUAGGCGGAAUCACUGGGCUUAAAGCGCGUGUAGGCGGGUCGUUAAGUGUCCGAGUGAAAUCCCACGGCUCAACCGUGGAACUGCCGGGCAUACUGGCGAUCUUGAGGCAUUCAGGGGCGAGCGGAACAAAUGGUGGAGCGGUGAAAUGCGUAGAUAUCAUUUGGAACGCCAAUGGUGAAAACAGCUCGCUGGGAAUGAUCUGACGCUGAGACGCGAAAGCCAGGGGAGCAAACGGG
rnacentral:rRNA from 1 species